rnacentral:rRNA from 1 species
AGGGAUCAUUACUGAGUUACCGCUCUAUAACCCUUUGUGAACAUACCUAACCGUUGCUUCGGCGGGCAGGGGAAGCCUCUCGCGGGCCUCCCCUCCCGGCGCCGGCCCCCACCACGGGGACGGGGCGCCCGCCGGAGGAAACCAAACUCUAUUUACACGACGUCUCUUCUGAGUGGCACAAGCAAAUAAUUAAAACUUUUAACAACGGAUCUCUUGGUUCUGGCAUCGAUGAAGAACGCAGCGAAAUGCGAUAAGUAAUGUGAAUUGCAGAAUUCAGUGAAUCAUCGAAUCUUUGAACGCACAUUGCGCUCGCCAGCAUUCUGGCGAGCAUGCCUGUUCGAGCGUCAUUUCAACCCUCAAGCACCGCUUGGGUUUUGGGGCCCCACGGCACACGUGGGCCCUUAAAGGUAGUGGCGGACCCUCCCGGAGCCUCCUUUGCGUAGUAACUAACGUCUCGCACUGGGAUCCGGAGGGACUCUUGCCGUAAAACCCCCAAAUUUUUUACAGGUUGACCUCGGAUCAGGUAGGAAUACCCGCUGAACUUAA